CUUGCUCUUCACACAGAAUCUGCUAAGCACUAGGUGGCACGGUUGAGCAACCAUUAAAAACUAUUUCCGUCAAGGCCCAGGAGAAAAGGAAAUUGAAUUGGAAGUUGGAGGAGUGAGGGUUAGUGGCAGAGAAGGCCGAUCGGUCCCUGGAAUUCAACCUGCUCACAGCCUCCAUAAGCACGGGUAUGCUGUGCUCUAAGCCGAUAGGGCUGCGUGCAGAGGAGGCGCCCUCAAGAGCAGAUACCGCCAAGCCAGUGAGGAGGAGCCUGCUGGAGAAGGCUGGGAAUCCCUUCCCACCAUCCUAUCAGAACCCUCUGGUUGUCGCUUGCUUCCUCCUCUCAACCAUGUCGCCCUGUUCACCCAGAGCAGAAAUGCUGGCAGCUGUCAUGGACAAGUGAGAUGAGGCACACGUCUCCAGGAUGACCCACGGGCUUCUCUGCCUGUCGCUGCCAUUUUCAACCCUCUUCCCCUCCCCGCUCUGUUUUCCUGUCUUCCUCUCUCCCUCCCUCCUUCUUCUUCUCUCCCCACCCCACUCUCUUCGAAGGAGAAUUAUAUUCAGCUCUGUGGGUUGUUUUUAAUGCAUUCCAGAUGCCAGAAGAAAUCUUGGCCUGGGCUCAGCGUUCUUCUGACUUCAGGCCUCUCCCCCACCUACCUCCCUGUCUGACUCCCAAGGCCACACAAGGAAAAAUCAGCUCCUGGUGUUUGGUGACACAGAAGGAGCAAGCAGGGCAGAUCGAAGGCAUAAGUGAAAUCCUGUGGUUUCUGAACAGGCCAAGAUUCACUUGAAUAAGAAAUGAAAAACCGAGAAGAUCGUUGAAGAGCACAGGUGCUUCUCUAGAAGGACUAAAACCUAGAAAUUAAUUCAAUUGCCAUUUUGAGGGGAGAAGAGAAGAAGAACGGCUACUCCUCUGAGUCAACGUCAUGCAUAGGUUGGGCCGCUGUUGUUACUAUACCAAGAAUGACUGAGGCUGAGUACUUAAAAGAAAAAACUUUGGAGACUAGAAAUCCAAACAGCAUGGCAUCUUCUCAGAUGAGAGAAUCCCUUGUCUUCAUCACCUCAUGGGGAAAAACAUGCAAAAGAAAGAGACACACAGGAAGCCAGAGCGAAGGAGAGACCAGCCUGAGGACCGCCUAAGUAUCACUUUUAGAUAUCUCAACAUGCCACCCACCCAUCACCACACCAAGAACCCAGCUUCUAGCACAUGGACCUUUGGGCAAGCCACACCCAACACCAUACCAACAUUCAGUGCAAGUUAGUUCUCAGGAUGGACGAGGGGAUAGUAAGACAUUACUUGGUCCCACACCUUUUAUUCUCUUGUUAGAAUAAAUGUGUCCCAUCAUGUAGGAGAAACAGCCCCGUGUCAAUUUCUUUACCAGGACUAGUAGUUAUUCCAACACGUCUGGGAAUAUUGGUCUGAGAGACAUGGUCACUGGUGAGUCUCUGAGUGGGGUGGGAGCUUGAGCAGGGGGCCAAGUAGGAUAGUGUCUUACUUAGGGUCGCUAUUGCUGUGAUGAAACACUAUUACCAAAACCAAGUUGUGGAAGAAAGGGUUUAUUUGGUUUACACUUUCCACAACACUGUGCAUCACCAAAAGAAGCCAGAACAGGACCUCAAACAGGGCAGGAACCUAAGAGCAGGACCUGACACAGAAGCCAUGGAGGAGUGCUGUCUACU